CUCUUUUGCCCUGCUCUCCAUGGACACCACAGAAUAAAGAGAGCUGUUCCAACUUCCCUGGGAACCACUGAUUGGAAAGUCAUUGUAGUGGACCUAUCAAAGAACCCACAAGACCUGAAGGCGUACGAUAUGGAACUGGACAAAAAAACCUACCUCCCACUCAACCCUAUGAUGAACCCCAUGCGAGUUGUCAUCCUGCAAAUGCUGAAGAGAAUGUUCAAGGGAUGGGGAUUCACGGGGUGGUGGAUAUCUGUUGUUAGAUUAAUUUUGUUAGUCUUUGUUAUUCUGUUCUUUGUAACCCUGGUGUUCGGGACCCAUACUCAGAGUUGAAUUGAGCCCAGUGAAUUCCUGUAACCUUGUUUAACAAAUAAGGGGGAGGUGUUACGGUGAGCUCCUGGA